UUCUUAAUUCAUCAAAAAGAAAAAGAUUGAAAGAAGCAACUGAUGAAAAAAUGACUAAAAUUUCAAAAGUCACUUUGGAUAACAAAUCUGUAAGCAGAAAUAAAAUGAACAACAAAAUUUACAUUGAUGAUGAAUCUAACAAUACUGAUAAUGAUACAACAAUGUCAGCAAAUGUUAACACCAGAUCAACUGAUUUUUGUGAAUUUUAUGAUGGUUCGCACCUGUCUGGGACCUCACGUUAUUAUAAAGCAUAAAUGUGGUAUAUGGGUGGCAGGUCUGGCAGCCAUCUGUAAGAUGCCAAAGUCAACAUGUGCAACCA